rnacentral:rRNA from 1 species
UACAGAGGUCCCAAGCGUUGUUCGGAUUCAUUGGGCGUAAAGGGCGUGUAGGUGGCGCCGUAAGUCGGGUGUGAAAUCUCGGGGCUUAACUCCGAAACUGCAUUCGAUACUGCGGUGCUUGAGGACUAGAGAGGAGACUGGAAUUCAUGGUGUAGCAGUGAAAUGCGUAGAGAUCAUGAGGAAGACCAGUGGCGAAGGCGGGUCUCUGGACAGUUACUGACACUGAGACACGAAGGCGAGGGGAGCAAACGGG